AACCCUAUUCAAACCCAUCACUCUGGUCAAUCAACUAGUCUUAUCCGCUCCCUCAUCCUCUUCCCCCAAAUCCCUCCUCCCACUCCCCUUCCCCCAAAUCCCUCCCUCUCAAUCCCGUUGCUCUCCAUAGAGGAAUCACCGCCGCCGACCUCCUCACGCUUAUGGCGACCUCGAGCGGUUCCACACUGCAGCCAAAUUAGACUGGAACGGUGGAUCCAAGCCCUUCCAAUCUCAUCUGUUCUUCACCGACUUGAGGAGGAACUUGACGUGGGGAGGGAGACGAGCAGGAGCGCCGCGCCCAUGGCCGCGAUGAAUGAGGCCCAGGGGCCGUCUGAGUGGCAGUGAAAAAGGUCGGCGGAAGAUCGGUUUGUGGCAACGGACGGUGGGAGGCGGUGGGAUCGUGGGAGGAGCAGGUGGACACAUGUAAUCGCCGGUGGAAAUCUAGCAAGCGGCAGAAGAGCGCAGCGGGCGGUGCUGGCCUAAUGCCCACAGGGAAAGAGAAGCCCAUGGUUCCGGCGCGUGGUGCCGUGGUGGGGUCGCGCUGCUGCUGCUAGGACUGUGGUGCUUCCUUCCAAAGAGCCUCUUGCGGCUAUCUCAUAACAAAGAGCGUCGGCAGAACCGUCUGCCUUCAUCACGCACUUCAGUGCAGCCACGAGCAGGAACACCAGUGGCUACCACUAUGCAGAAGCUAUCGGCCAUGAACAGAUAAAUGGUGACGGUUCCGGACAAUCUCGCCUGGGAGCUUGUCAAGAGGAACAUUUGUUUCCUAAUGUAGCAGUUCAGCAAGAGUAAUGCCAAGGUUCUGUUCAGUCAGGAAGCCUAACAAGUUUUACAUUGUCCACUCUGACAAGCACUCUGGUUAGUAGUUGUUGCUAUCUCUUGGUCAGUUGAAUUAUGGAUGUCUCGCCAUUGGCAGAUCUGUUUGGUGGUUGGUGUGUUUUUCAGUCCUGGUAAACAAGAAGACUGACGGCACAUAGCUAACUACUGAUAAGGAGAUGGCAUUGAGUGGAGCCAUGGUCCAAUCGAACCCACACUCCACGCUUGUCCUUCUUUCGUCUCUUGAGUCUUGACAACCAAGACAUGGAAGAAGGACAAGUCUGUCGCGUUCCCCCAGAAUACUGUCAUGCACAGGGAGUUCUGCUAGAUGGCCAAGGCUGUCAAGAACUAGGAUGAGUUUGGCGCAGUUUGUUAUGCAAGUGCAGCAGACUCGAGAAUGGUUCAGGGAACUUGAUCUAUUCUUAGAUUGUGACUUGCCAACUUAUAAGGAAUCCAAACCACUGCUUACCGAGUGUUGCCCAGUAUCCUCUUUGUGUGUACAUAUUCAUGCGCUACUGAAAUAUGCUACAUGCACCGAUGAAGCCUCCAAUAAUAUGCAACAUCUCUUACGAGCAUUUGAGGGUUUUGACAUGCUGCUAAUGGAGUCAUUUAAUGAGCAAGCAAGUGAUGAGACCCUGAGGAGAAAAAUCAUUGUGGCCCUUCCAAUUUUAGACAAUCUUUUGCAAAGUAUGCUACCAACAAUGACUCCUGAAGAAAGAUACAGAGUAGGAAUAUUUGAACAGUAUGAGAAGUCAGGCUAUACGAAGAAGGACCACCAGUCGUUUGGCUCUAAUGCUGAGAAGGUUCGCCACAGCAAGAAGCGAAGCCAUGCUAAGAAAAGGACUCACAAGCAGCAGCAACAUAUUUUCAAGCGCAAUAACUUUGGGCGGGAUGUGGCUUUGAACCGCUGGCGGUACUUGGGCGGCUGCAUGCUGAUGUCUGUUGGUAUGUUGUCACUUUGCUGGAUGGUAUGGAAGAUCUUGUGGGAAAUGAUCUUGCAGGAGAUGCUAGCUUAGGGCUAUUACAAUGAUCAUAUAUAACAGUAAGAUCUAGUUAUCCUAGCCAGUUUCAUGAGCUAGCUACCUGAUUACUCUCUAUUACAAUGAUCGUAUACAACAGUAAGAUCUAGCGGAUGGCACUAGCUACUGAAGAAGAAUUAGCAUUGAUUAGGGCUGUGGGCGGAGUUGUAUGAUGGGCAGGGUUGGAGAUGAAUAUAUAGACAUACCUCUCGGGUCUUUUUUUACUUUCCAGGUUUGCUAUUUUUCAGUCGAUUGAAAAACAAUUCACUUCCAUUCAAAUUUGUGGCCAUCCAAACUCGUGCGGAGAUUCACGCUGGGCGAUGGUGCUUUCGGGCUGGUUUUGUCAUGUGGGCCGUUUUUCUUGGUGAGCACGUUACCAUCCGCUUCGGUACGCUGUUUUCCCCCUUCUGUUUCUGAAAUUUCAUUCCUCCACUUCCGUUUGAAAAGGGAGGGAGGGAGGGAGAGAGAGAGAGAGGGAGAGAGACGGAGGGAGAGAGGGAGAGGGAGGGAGGGAGGAAGAGCGAGAGAGAGAGAGGAGGGGGGAGAGGGAGAGAGAGAGAGUUUGUUUUAGAUCCCCCCUACUCAUUUGAUUUUGGGCUGGCCCUUUUGAUGUAGAUUUAGGUGGAGAUGCUCAGUCCCCUGGCCUUUUGAGUCUCCUUUAGAUUUAGAUUUUGUGUGGAUGUAGGUGUUUAGUUCCCCUCUGACUUUUGCGUUUCACAGUUUCAGUUUGUAUAAAGGGUGUUCAUGCUGACUGUCCCAAUGAUGUAGUGUUCAGUAGUAGCUGCUGGAAUGAGCUGUUAUAUUUUAGUAGCUUAGAAAUUCAGAUUGUGUAAUAUGCAUUUUUAGCGCUAUGUAAUUAGUGUUCAGGUAGGUAGGUAGUUUUCUCACUGCAUUUUACAGUUUGUUGUAUGCUUCCUAGUUAUUUGUAGUUGAUAUCCUCGUAUAUUUGAUGGCCAGGUGUUUUUGCCUUGUUUAUUUCUUUCAUUUGUUAUUUUCUUUUUCAUCAUGCUAGUGAGUUCAGAAGUUUGCAGUAUCUUUUAAAUUUGUAUCACCCUGGUGAGUUUCAUAAUUUUUCAAUAGUGCGAGUUCCAUAAGCAAGUAGCGCUAGUUCCAUUUGUUCCAAUAGUUUCCCAUAUUUAGUUUCUAUGCAUAAUUUUGCUUUACUAGGGUGUUUCUAGCUCACCCAGUUACUAUUGUGAAGUUUUUUUCUUCACUCUUUUUCUUGUGUAUCACGUAAUCUGCUUAUAGUAUCAGUUUAAUGGGUAGACUACGGAAGGUCUCUCAACAGGACGUUCCCGUACUAUCAUCUUUUGGCACUGCAGAUUCUUUCGAUAAACCUUUUUGUGCCCAAUGACUUCGCGGAUGAUGAUUCGUAUCAGUUAUAACGGGAACUAUCUGUAGAUCAUGGCAACUCUGACAAAGCUCUAUCUGAGUUCUCUAUGAAUCAU